CGUGCUGUACGGGGUGCCGGUGAUGGGCUUCGCGCUGCUGUGGCUGGCGCUGGCGGCCGCGAUGGUGGUGCGGGCGGCGCGG
rnacentral:tRNA from 1 species